rnacentral:SRP_RNA from 1 species
GCCAGGCAUGGUGGUACAUACCUAUAAUCUCUGCAACUAGGGGAGGUUCAAGCUGAUGGAUCACUUGAGGUCAGGAGUUCUGAGAUGCAAUUGGACAAAAUUAAACUGGGUAUGUGCACUAAGUCCAGUACCAAUAUGGUUAGCCCUUGGGGAGCAAGCUGCCUAGAGAGGGGUAAACCAGCCCAAACUGGAAACAGGGUGGGUCAAAAUUUCCAUGCUGAUCAGAAGUGAGGUUGGGCCUCCAAGUAGCUACUGUACAUCCAGCCUGAGCAAGACAGGGAGACCCAGUCUCA